AAGACUAUACUUCAGGGAUCAUUCUAGAGUUUCUGACUUGAGGAAUGGUUUCUAAAGAGUUUGGUUCGCUGACCACGAUGAUGAGUCAUGAUAUCCUUUCGAGCGUGAAACUGACAGAGAGUAAUGAUUCACUUCAUAUGCUCUCUGUCAUUGAUGAUGUUCUUUGCUCUUAUUGUGCAUUGAGGAAGGGAAUAGAUCAGGGUGUA